GCCUAACCUACACCACAGUUGGUAAAGCACGAGACUCUUAAUCUCAGAGUCAUGAAUUCAAGCCCCAUGUUGGGCG